rnacentral:rRNA from 1 species
GUGGGGAAUUGUUCACAAUGGGCGCAAGCCUGAUGACGCAAUGCCGCGUGGAGGAUGAAGGUCUUCGGAUUGUAAACUCCUGUUGCCAGGGACGAAUGGCUCCGACCUAAUACGUCGGAGAAUGACGGUACCUGGUGAGGAAGCCCCGGCUAACUCUGUGCCAGCAGCCGCGGUAAUACAGAGGGGGCGAGCGUUGUUCGGAAUUACUGGGCGUAAAGGGCGCGUAGGCGGCCUUCUAAGUCGAACGUGAAAUCCCCGGGCUCAACCCGGGAACUGCGUCCGAUACUGGGAGGCUUGAAUCCGGGAGAGGGAUGUGGAAUUCCAGGUGUAGCGGUGAAAUGCGUAGAUAUCUGGAGGAACACCGGUGGCGAAGGCGGCAUCCUGGACCGGUAUUGACGCUGAGGCGCGAAAGCUAGGGGAGCAAACGGGAUUAGAAACCCGUGUAGUCC